rnacentral:rRNA from 1 species
GUGGGGAAUCUUGCGCAAUGGGCGAAAGCCUGACGCAGCCAUGCCGCGUGAAUGAUGAAGGUCUUAGGAUUGUAAAAUUCUUUCACCGGGGACGAUAAUGACGGUACCCGGAGAAGAAGCCCCGGCUAACUUCGUGCCAGCAGCCGCGGUAAUACGAAGGGGGCUAGCGUUGCACGGAAUUACUGGGCGUAAAGGGCGCGUAGGCGGACAGUUUAGUCAGAGGUGAAAGCCCAGGGCUCAACCUUGGAAUUGCCUUUGAUACUGGCUGUCUUGAGUACGGGAGAGGUGAGUGGAACUCCGAGUGUAGAGGUGAAAUUCGUAGAUAUUCGGAAGAACACCAGUGGCGAAGGCGACUCACUGGCCCGUUACUGACGCUGAGGCGCGAAAGCGUGGGGAGCAAACAGGAUUAGAAACCCGGGUAGUCC